GUAUACAAAGUCAAUAUUAGAAAGUAAUGCUUCUUCUAUAUUCCAGCAACAAGAAAAUAAAAUGGUCCACACAUAAAUGAAUGCUUGAUGUACAAUAAAGGUGCACUGCAGGGCAGCGGGAGAAAAAAGUCUUUCCAAUAAGUGGCACUAGGACAAUUGCGUACCAUGCUGGAAAAAGAAGAAAUUGAACUCCUAACUCACACAAAAGUCAAUUCCAGAGUUGAAUGGAACUGAUAUAAACAAUAGGCCGCCGAAUGACUAGUUGGUCAUCUGAAGGAAGAAUACCAAUAAGAAAAGUAAUGGAGAACUGAAAGCUCAUGGUGUGUUCAGAGAACAGCUAGCAGAGGAGAGGAGGAAAGAAGAGAAGGAAGGAAGAAGAUCAAGCUGAAAUGGUACUACGGGGACUCUUAAUGCUCCAUUAAGCCAAAUGGUUUGGACUUCAUCUGCUGGCCAUGGUGGCUACAACUGGAGCAGCCAUUUGGGUGGUGAGGUGAGUUCAAGAUGGAAGCCAAGCACAACCUAGAAGGACCCUGACUCCCUGACACCAUGGUUUGCCAUAUGGGACCUGGACUGAUUCCCUUUGGAACUUUAUCUGAGAGAAAUAAACUUCUGUCUUGCUUAAGCCAUUUUUAUGGUGUCUUUCUGUCAUUUGUAGCUAAUCCUAAUCCUAAUUUUUACAUUAUCCUUCCAUAAGCUGUGAAGAGCCACAAAAAGUUUUAU
rnacentral:lncRNA from 1 species